rnacentral:rRNA from 1 species
AACGAACGCUGGCGGCAUGCCUAACACAUGCAAGUCGAACGAGACCUUCGGGUCUAGUGGCGCACGGGUGCGUAACGCGUGGGAACCUGCCCUUAGGUUCGGAAUAACUCCCCGAAAGGGGUGCUAAUACCGGAUAAUGUCUUCGGACCAAAGAUUUAUCGCCUUUGGAUGGGCCCGCGUUGGAUUAGCUAGUUGGUAGGGUAAAAGCCUACCAAGGCGACGAUCCAUAGCUGGUCUGAGAGGAUGAUCAGCCACACUGGGACUGAGACACGGCCCAGACCCCUACGGGAGGCAGCAGUGGGGAAUAUUGGAAAAUGGGCGAAAGCCGAAUCCAGCAAUGCCGCGUGAGUGAUGAAGGCCUUGGGGUUGAAAAGCUCUUUUACCCGGGAUGAUAAUGACAGUACCGGGAGAAGAAGCGGCGGCUAACUCCGU